rnacentral:lncRNA from 1 species
GUGAUGGCCUAAGUUGUGUUUAGUCAUUUAGGGAUCUGAGUCCAUAUUCACCAGAGAUGGUCCUAAGGCUGAGAUCACCGAUCUAAUUUUACUUGUCUAGGCAUCAGUCUGGAAGGAAGUAUGGUCCCUAAUGUAAAGUCCACUGCUUUAUUUAGUAAGCUAUGUAAUCCUCUUGUGUAACAUGAGCAAUAAUAUCACAUUACAUACACUGUAACUAACAAAUUACCAAGAUUGAUCUUGUAAAUCCGUAGAGAGAAUGACAAUUUACUACCCCCCAGUAAAGCAUGUAUAUAAUCCAAGCUACAGAUCCUAGGACAGAAGUAGAAAAAAGCAUCGUUAGGCAAUUACUUCAAACAUCACUUUCCUUUCUGCAGAGGUUGUUCUUUCUUAACAUAGUUUUUCUGUAGCAAUUUAGCCAAAGCCCACUAAUAAAUGUAGACAGCUUCUUAGGAAAACUGAAGUGUUAAGUUGCUAUACAGCUGCUAGGAAAAGAAAGAAGAAAAAAAAAAAAAAAAAAACUUGUGAUUUCCAGUACAUGAUUUAAUCCUUUUUUUCAUUCUUAACAUCCACACAUUUUAAAUAGACAAUAAUUUCUUACAGCCUAGAAAGAAGUGUUGAACAAAGCCAGCUAUAUUCUCUGUUCUAUAUUUAAAAGGGAUGUGUUUCUGACUCAUAUGGUGGAAAGAUGAUUCCGAUUUUAUAUUUUUCCUCUUCAUAGGGUCGAAACUGAUGUUAGUACAACAGUAUUUGUGAAGAUAUGAUCUAAUAGAAUGUUUGAAUUCUCAGCUGGGCCCAAAAUCAGCAUCAAAACAAAAGAUAUGAUGGGUAAGGAUAAAUCUUUCUGCUACUACAGCCAAAUUCCCAGUGACAUGAAGAGGCCAUCAUUAACCCUCUAAAUUUUUAGCCACUAUAAACAUUUCUCAUCUACCUGCAUCUCAGCAUGGAAGCAGUAAGUGGUUUCUGUUUGUUGGUUGUUUUUUGGUUUUUUUUUUGGUGUUGUUUGUGAGACACAAAAUUUCCUAAACCAGCACUUGCUCUUCUGGAAUUACUGAAAUGGGUAAAAGUUUAUAAACCUCAAGCAGAAUAUGUUUAGCGUGAGAAAAAAAAAAAUAGAGAGAGAAAUUCCUCUUAAAAGAAUCGUGCAAAUGUUCAAUCUGAGCGUGCUGACUUGACAAGUUAGAUCCACGUGUGAAUUUGCUGUCUAACACCAUCCUAACAACAUUGUCACUCCUGUCACUGAUAAUAUAACCAAGCGAAAGAUCUGGAGAGGUAAAGCACACAUUUGUUAGGUCUUUAGGCUUUGAUUGUUUGUUGGCGGCUGUGC